AAUGAACGCUGGCGGCGCGCCUAAUACAUGCAAGUCGAGCGAGAAGACGUAGCAAUACGUUUGUAAAGCGGCGAACGGGUGAGGAAUACAUGGGUAACCUACCCUCGAGUGGGGAAUAACUAGCCGAAAGGUUAGCUAAUACCGCGUACGCUCCUUGGACUUCGGUUCAGGGAGGAAAGCGAUACCAUGGGUAUCGCGCUCUUGGUUGGGCUCAUGUCCUAUCAGCUUGUUGGUGAGGUAACGGCUCACCAAGGCUUCGACGGGUAGCUGGUCUGAGAGGACGAUCAGCCACACUGGCACUGCGACACGGGCCAGACUCCUACGGGAGGCAGCAGUAAGGAAUAUCGCGCAAUGGGCGAAAGCCUGACGCAGCGACGCCGCGGUGGGGGA
rnacentral:rRNA from 1 species